rnacentral:rRNA from 1 species
AGUAAACGCUGGCGGCAGGCUUAACACAUGCAAGUCGAACGGCAGCAUAGUAACAGCUUGCUCUUACGGGUGGCGGGUGGCGUAACGCGGAGGUAACCAGCGGAAUCUACUGUUUCGAGGGGGAGAACCUAGGGAAACUUACGCAAAUACCGCUAGCAACCUAUGGUUCAAAGCAGGGGAUCUCCGGCCGUUGCACGAUUGAAUGACCCGAGGUCGGACUAGUUAGUUGGUGGGGUAAUGGCCCACCAACGAGACGAUCCGUAGCUGGUCUGAGAGGAUGGUCAGCCAGACGGGAACUGAGACACGGUCCAGACUCCUACGGUAGGCAGCAGUGGGGAAUAUUGGACGAUGGGGGCAAGCCUGAUCCAGCCAUACCGCGUGGGUGAAGAAGGCCUUCGGGUUGUAAAGCCCUUUUGUUGGGAAAGAAGAGCAGCAGGUUAAUACCCCGCUGUACUGACGGUACCCAAAUAAUAAGCACCGGCUAACUUCGUG